rnacentral:rRNA from 1 species
CAGCCGUAAACGAUGCGCGUUAGGUGUAUCGACGACCACGAGUCGUCGAGGUGCCGAAGGGAGACCGUGAAACGUGCCGCCUGGGAAGUACGGUCGCAAGGCUGAAACUUAAAGGAAUUGGCGGGGGAGCACCACAACAGGUGGAGCCUGCGGUUUAAUUGGAUUCAACGCCGGACAUCUCACCGGAUAAGACAGCUGAAUGAUUGUCAAUCUGAAGGUUUUACAUGACUAGCUGAGAGGAGGUGCAUGGCGUCAGUGACU